rnacentral:rRNA from 1 species
AAGCUCGUAGUUGAAUUUCGGGGCUCUACCGUUGGUCGGGCUUUGUCUGUACUGGCGUGUAGAAUUUCUACCUUCUGGGGAACCAUUAUGUUAUUAAUUUAGCGUGGUGGGAAACCAGGACCUUUACCUUGAAAAAAUUAGAGUGUUCAAAGCAGGCUUAUGUCUGAAUACAUUAGCAUGGAAUAAUAGAAUAGGACGGUGGUCCUGUUUUGUUGGUUUCUGAAUCACCGCAAUGAUUAAUAGGGAUAGUUGGG